rnacentral:rRNA from 1 species
UUGUUAUAUAAAAGAUGGUUCUGCUAUCACUAAGAGAUGGUCCCGCGGUGCAUUAGCUAGUUGGUAAGGUAAUGGCUUACCAAGGCGAUGAUGCAUAGCCGAGUUGAGAGACUGAUCGGCCACAAUGGGACUGAGACACGGCCCAUACUCCUACGGGAGGCAGCAGUAGGGAAUCUUCCACAAUGGGCGAAAGCCUGAUGGAGCAACGCCGCGUGUGUGAUGAAGGGUUUCGGCUCGUAAAACACUGUUGUAAGAGAAGAAUGACAUUGAGAGUAACUGUUCAAUGUGUGACGGUAUCUUACCAGAAAGGAACGGCUAAAUACGUGCCAGCAGCCGCGGUAAUACGUAUGUUCCAAGCGUUAUCCGGAUUUAUUGGGCGUAAAGCGAGCGCAGACGGUUAUUUAAGUCUGAAGUGAAAGCCCUCAGCUCAACUGAGGAAUCGCUUUGGAAACUGGAUGAC